rnacentral:misc_RNA from 1 species
UUUCCGUAGGUGAACCUGCGGAAGGAUCAUUACUGAGUUAGGGUCUUUAUGGCCCGACCUCCAACCCUUUGUUUAAUCUACCAUGUUGCUUUGGCAGGCCCGCUUAGAAAUGGGCCGCCGGAGACCUUUGAGUCUCUGGCCAGUGCCUGCCAGUAGCCUUUCUAAAUUCAUUUAUAACCGUGUCUGAAUAUACAAAGAAAAAUUAAAAUAAAACUUUCAACAACGGAUCUCUUGGUUCUG